GGGGUGACUAGUGACAGAGUGAGGGAGGGGGUGACACAGUGACAGAGUAAGGGGGUGACUAGUGACAGAGUGAGGGAGCGGGUGACACAGUGACAGAGUGAAGGAGGUGGUGACUGUCACUAGUCACCCCCUUCCCUCCCUCACUCUGUCACUAGUCACCCCUCCCUCUCUCUGUCACUAGUCACACCCUCCCUCACUCUGUCACUAGUCACACCCGUCCUCACUGUCACUAGUCACCCCCUCCCUCUCUCUGUCACUAGUCACACCC